UUCAGCUGUUCUCAGCCCUGCUGCAUGCUUGCCAAAGACUCCAGCAGCAGCAUGAAGUUGGGAGGCUUCCUCCUCCUUGUGGCCCUGCUCAUGCUCAGCUCGGAGGUGCAGGAGCUGCAGGCUGCAGUGAGACCAGUGAAAUUUCCAGGCUCCUGUGUUGAUCUCUGCCAUGGUGAUUGGGACUGUGAUUCAGGAGAACGCUGUGUCAGCAAUGGUUGUGGCCACAUCUGUGUUUCAGACUAAAGACAGAGGAAGAUUUAUCCUAAAGACCAUCCUUCUGUAAUCAUUGCUCAUCCUUUCCUGGAGUUCCUAUCUUCAAAGAUGUGAUGAUUUGAAGCUCCUUGCCCAGGAAAACAGAUGAAAAUGGGGCCCGUGUCUGGAGAAGACAGGGGAUGUGAUGAGGAAGGAAAAUAAUUGUUCCUUUUAAUAAAUCAGCAUCACUAAAAGUA